GGAUGGUUCUGGGAUUCUAACGAGGCUCUGUGGUCCAGAACUCCUGCUGCCCCUCCCAGUGCCCUCCCAGUUCACUCCCAAUAUCACUCCCAGUCCUUCCCAGUCCCUCCCAGUCCCUCCCAGUUCCCUCCCAGUCCCUCCCAGUCCCUCCCAGUCCCCUCCCAGUGCUCCCAGUCCCCUCAAAGUUACCUCCCAGUCCUUCCCAGUCACUCCCAGUUCACCCCCAGUAUCAGUCCCAGUUCCCUUCCAGUGUCUCCCAGUGCUCCCAGUAUCACUUCCCAGUCCAUCCCAGUGUCCUCCCACUUCAUCCCAGUUCCCUCCCAGUCCCUCCCAAUCCCCUCCCAGUCCCUCCCAGUUCACCCCCAGUGCUCCCAGUAUCACUCCAGUCCCUCCCAGUCCCUCCCAGUCCCCUCCCAGUCCCUACCCAGUCCCCUCCCAGUCCUGCCAAUCCCCCCAGUCCCUCCAAUCGCCUCACAGUCCCUCAAUGACCCUCCCAAGUCCUCCCAGUCCCUCCCAGUUCCGCCCCAAUCCCCUCCCAGCCCCUCCCAGUCUCCCCCAAUCCCCUCCCAGUUCCUCCCAGUUCACCCCCAGUGCUCCCAGUAUCACUUCCCAGUUCGUCCCAGUGUCCUGUCACUUCAUCCCAGUCCCUCCCAAUCCCCUCCCAGUUCAUCCCAGUCCCCUCAAAGUUACCUCCCAGUCCCUCCCAGUCCCCCCCAGUCCCUCCCAGUCCCUCCCAGUCCCCUCCCCCCCUCCCAGUCCCUCCCAAUCCCUUCCCAGUCCCUCCCAGUAUCACCCCCACCGGUCGUUACCAAACAUCGCCUUUAUUUCCUGUGCGGGGGGGCCCCAAAAUCCGAGGGGGGGAUCCCCAAAAACCUCCCAGAUUUUUUUGGGGGGGGGUCCCCAAUUUUUUUGGGGGGUGUUUUUGGGGCUUCCUCAAUUUUUGGGGGGGUCCCCCAAUUUUUUUGGGGGGUUCCCCUCGAUUUUGGGGUCACAAAAGUGCUUUUUUGGGGGUUUUCACCCCAAUUUUGGGGGGUCCUGGAGGGUCCCAAAUUUUUGGGGGGUCCCAAAUUUUGGGGUGUCCCCAAUUUAGGGGAUCCCCAAAUUUUUUGGGGGGGUUUCCCCUCGAUUUUGGGGUCUCAAAGGUGCUUUUUUGGGGGUUUUCACCCUAAUUUUGGGGGUCCUGGAAGGUCCCAAAUUUUUGGGGGCUCCCCAAAUUUUUUGGGGGGGUUUUCACCCCAAAUUUUUGGGGGGGUCCCCAAAUUUUUUUGGGGGGUUCCCCCUCGAUUUUGGGGUCACGAAGGUGCUUUUUGGGGAGGUUUUCACCCCAAUUUUGGGGGUUUUUCACCCCAAAUUUUUGGGGGGGGUCCCCAAAUUUUUUGGGGGGUCCCCAAAUUUUUGGGGGGGUUUCACCUCAAUUUUUUGGGGGGGUCCCCAAAUUUUUUUGGGGGGUUUCCCCUCGAUUUUGGGGUCUCAAAGGUGCUUUUUUGGGGGGAUUUCACCCCAAUUUUGGGGAAUUUUCACCCCAAUUUUUGGGUGUUUUCACCCCAAUUUUUGGGCGUUUUCACCCCAAAUUUCUUGGGGGGUCCCCAAAUUUUUUGGGGGGGUUCCACUCGAUUUUGGGGUCACAAAAGUGCUUUUUUGGGGGUUUUUCACCCCAAUUUUGGGGAGUUUUCACCCCAAUUUUGGGGGUUUUUCACCCCAAUUUUGGGGUUUUUCACCCCAAAUUUCUUGGGGGGUCCCCAAAUUUUUUGGGGGGGGUUUCCCCUCGAUUUUGGGGUCUGGAAAGUGCUUUUUUGGGGGGGGUUUCACCCCAAUUUUUGGGUGUUUUCAUCCCAAUUUUGGGGAAUUUUCACCCCAAUUUUGGGGCAUUUUCACCCCAAUUUUGGGGCUUUUUCACCCCAAAUUUUUGGAGGGGUCCCCAAAUUUUUUUGGGGGGUUUCCCCUCGAUUUUGGGGUCUCAAAGGUGCUUUUUUGGGGGGGGUUUCACCCCAAUUUUUGGGUGUUUUCAUCCCAAUUUUGGGGAAUUUUCACCCCAAUUUUUGGGGCUUUUUCACCCCAAUUUUGGGGCUUUUUCACCCCAAAUUUUUGGAGGGGUCCCCAAAUUUUUUUGGGGGGUUUCCCCUCGAUUUUGGGGUCUCAAAGGUGCUUUUUUGGGGGGGGUUUCACCCCAAUUUUUGGGUGUUUUCAUCCCAAUUUUGGGGAAUUUUCACCCCAAUUUUGGGGCAUUUUCACCCCAAUUUUGGGGCUUUUUC
rnacentral:lncRNA from 1 species